CAGACUGCACAGUACCUUACACUCAUCUGCUUCUGAGCUCGCAUUGGUAUUCGUGGGAAGAAGCAAGGGUUAGGCUGCGUAUGGUGUCAUGAAAAGUCUUUUGAAAGGAGGACCACUGACAGGCCCGAGAGGAAAAAGAGCCAGUGUCAAUGGCUGAGGGAAUACAGAAUUUCAGGAUUGUCUUACUGGGUGGGAGAUGGGCUGGGAAGAGCUCAACUGGAAAUACCAUUCUCCGCA